rnacentral:rRNA from 1 species
GUAGCGCUUUAAGGUUAGGUAGUUUGGACCGUCCGUGUGAGCGACGAACGGGUGACUAACGCGUGGGGAAUCUGCCUUUGAGCGGGGGACGACAUUUGGAAACGAAUGCUAAUACCGAAUAGAAACUUUAAACACAUAUUUUAAAUUUGAAAGAUGCUUUGCAUCACUCAAGAUGAUCCCGCGUUGUAUUAACUAGUUGGUGAGGUAAAGGCUCACCAAGGCGAUGAUGAUAGCCGACCUGAGAGGGUGAUCGGCCACAUUGGGACUGAGAGACGGCCCAAACUCCUACGGGAGGGAGCAAUUGGGAAUCUUCGGCAAUGGACGAAAGUCUGACCGAGCAACGCCUCGUGAGUGAAGAAGGUUUUCGGAUCGUAAAACUCUGUUGGUAGAGAAAAACCUUGGUGAGAGUGGAAAGCUCAUCAAGUGACGGUAACUACCCUGAAUGGGACGGCUAACUACGUGCCAGCAGCCGCGGUAAUACGUAGGUCCCGAGCGUUGUCCGGAUUUAUUGGGGCGUAAAGCGAGCGCAGGUGGUUUAUUAAGUCUGAUGUAAAAGGCGGGGGCUCAACCACUGUAUGCAUUGGAAACUGGUGGACUUGAGUGCCCGACA